rnacentral:rRNA from 1 species
CCUACGGGUGGCAGCAGUGGGGAAUAUUGCACAAUGGGCGCAAGCCUGAUGCAGCCAUGCCGCGUGUGUGAAGAAGGCCUUCGGGUUGUAAAGCACUUUCAGCGGGGAGGAAGGCGGUGAGGUUAAUAACCUCAUCGAUUGACGUUACCCGCAGAAGAAGCACCGGCUAACUCCGUGCCAGCAGUCGCGGUAAUACGGAGGGUGCAAGCGUUAAUCGGAAUUACUGGGCGUAAAGCGCACGCAGGCGGUCUGUCAAGUCGGAUGUGAAAUCCCCGGGCUCAACCUGGGAACUGCAUUCGAAACUGGCAGGCUAGAGUCUUGUAGAGGGGGGUAGAAUUCCAGGUGUAGCGGUGAAAUGCGUAGAGAUCUGGAGGAAUACCGGUGGCGAAGGCGGCCCCCUGGACAAAGACUGACGCUCAGGUGCGAAAGCGUGGGGAGCAAACAGGAUUAGAUACCCUUGUAGUC